rnacentral:rRNA from 1 species
AUUGAACGCUGGCGGCAGGCCUAACACAUGCAAGUCGAGCGGAUGAAGGGAGCUUGCUCCUGGAUUCAGCGGCGGACGGGUGAGUAAUGCCUAGGAAUCUGCCUGGUAGUGGGGGAUAACGUCCGGAAACGGGCGCUAAUACCGCAUACGUCCUGAGGGAGAAAGUGGGGGAUCUUCGGACCUCACGCUAUCAGAUGAGCCUAGGUCGGAUUAGAUAGUUGGUGGGGUAAAGGCCUACCAAGGCGACGAUCCGUAACUGGUCUGAGAGGAUGAUCAGUCACACUGGAACGUGAACACGGUCCAGACUCCUACGGGAGGCAGCAGUGGGGAAUAUUGGACAAUGGGCGAAAGCCUGAUCCAGCCAUGCCGCGUGUGUGAAGAAGGUCUUCGGAGUGUAAAGCACUUUAAGUUGGGAGGAAGGGCAGUAAGUUAAUACCUUGCUGUUUUGACGUUACCAACAGAAUAAGCACCGGCUAACUUCGUG